rnacentral:rRNA from 1 species
UACGUAGGGUGCAAGCGUUAAUCGGAAUUACUGGGCGUAAAGCGUGCGCAGGCGGCUUUGCAAGUCAGAUGUGAAAUCCCCGGGCUUAACCUGGGAACUGCAUUUGUGACUGCAUGGCUGGAGUGCGGCAGAGGGGGAUGGAAUUCCGCGUGUAGCAGUGAAAUGCGUAGAUAUGCGGAGGAACACCGAUGGCGAAGGCAAUCCCCUGGGCCUGCACUGACGCUCAUGCACGAAAGCGUGGGGAGCGAACAGG